rnacentral:lncRNA from 1 species
AAGUUAGAUUAACAUCUAUUUCUUGAUCUUAUUGCGGAUUUAAGGUGAGAUUUCAUCCGUUUUAUACUCUAAUUCUUGAUUAAUUGUUCAAAAAUCACAAAAACCUUAUUUGUUGAUUUAAGCUUCAAUUUCACUUCUUUUCACUUGAAUAAUGUUUCUAAGCCUAUAAUUACAUGUUUUUCAUCAAUCUCAUCUUCAAACAACUUCGAUUUUUUAUUUUAACACGUAUUUCAAAGAUUUUACCCGAUAAAGCUCAAAAAUGAUUUUUCUUCUAUUUGAACCUAGUUUUGACUUGGGUUUUCAGUUGUAAGAAUAUGAAAAAAAUAUUUUUGAAAUAAAUUUUUAAUUUUUUCCAUGUUUUUCAAAAUUCUAUUUUGGGGGUUCAUUUUGCCCCCAAACCAAAAGUAGAUAAUAUGGGUAUCGUUGGCUUUAUUUUAAAGCGUAGAUUUUAUAUUUCUUGGUUUUAGUUGAUUUUAAGAUUGUUCAUAAAAAGUAAGGUCGUGGAUUCAAAGUGUAGCAGACUGAUUUCUUCAUUUGAGGUAGGUUAUGGCUUAACUCUUUAGACUAGGCUGGGUAGUUAAUUUAUAUAUCAAAAUGUAUGUAAAGGUAGGAACUAACAUGAAAAAUAGUUAUCUAUAUGCCGUGCCCGUGUAGGGGUCUGUGUGGGGUCUUAUGUGAUGUUGAUAGCCUUGAAUAUGCGUGAAUAAUCAUAUUGUGUUAUUAAGAAAAAAGCCUAUUAUGGUACCUUUGAUGUAUUGUGAUAUAUUCACACUUUGUGGGCAUAUGAAUCAUGUGGAAAUUCAUGGAUGUUGAAAAUAAUGAGUGGAUAUUGGCUCAUGUAGAUGUCAAAAUAUAACAUUGUGGUUGGUUAUGAAAAUACAUCAUGUGGAAUGAUUGUGGAAAUACUCUUUGUGAUUGGUUGUGAACACUGCAUCAUCAUCCUCAUGUCAUUCUGUACCUUAUUUCACCUUUUUAUUGUAUGUUUUGUAUAUACUUAUUGAUGUUGUUUGUCAUACUGAAUUUGUGUUUUAUGUGCACCAAAAAUACUAAAAACACUGAAAAUACUAAAAAUUUUGGAAACAUUGGAAGUAUUAAAUUUUAUAAACCCUCCCCAAGGGAUGUGCCAGGGAGAAAAUAUUGAUAUAUGAAUUGUAUAUGAGUUGACGCACCCCCCAUAAGUCCCACGUCGAAAGGCUUGCUUCCAUGGGUAUAUAUGGGGAUUGGGUGAUGAUCCUGGAGGUUGUGCGAUGACCCCAUGCGUCAUCAUCACCACCACCAUCAUCAUAAUCAUCAUAUAUAUUGUACUUGCAUUAUUGUGUUUAUGUUGUGCUUGUAUUACCAUAUUGACUUGUCAUCUAUCUAUUUGUCCUAUAUCUUGACUUGUAAAUGUCCAAUUGUUCCAUCUUUCUUUAUUUGUAUUUGAUGGUCUUGAUUAUACAUGUUCCUCUUUUGUUUUACUUGUAUGUGUUAUGGUAUAUAUUUGUAUCCCUAUUUGGUAUGUUAUUGUUGAUACGUGAAUAUUAUAAAACUAUUAGUGCAAGCGGGGUGGGCUACCAUUAUGGGAUAUUUUUUUAUUGCAGUUGACAUGUCCUUAAUAUGUAUUUUGUAUGCUUUAUUUUCUACUUUGCUCUAUCGGCCUAUGAUACCAACUAAGUACAAGUGGGUCACACUCACGCCUACUGCGCCUUUUAGGUGCAGGUCCAAAUUCGAGUGCGCUCCAGCUUAGUUGAUUCAGGCAAAAAUUGGUGUUUUCAAGGUAGUGGUUGACCCUUCAGGCGUCUGAAUGUAUUCUACUACCUUUCUUAUAGACUAUGUCUUUAAUUUCACUUCGAAGACAGAGUUUUAUUUCGUAUCUGAACACCUUAUCUAUUUCAUUUGGAUUCGAGUUGUACUAGAUGUGUUCUUAUACUGUUGACACUAGGUUUUGAGAGUUAUGGUUGUAUGUGUUGAUUUUAUUCCUUUCUCUUUUAUCAUAUCUAUGUGGUUUGGCUUUGUUCUAGAAUCCUUACCUUGGGAGUAUUUAUGUCUUUUCCCCUUGUGUAGCAAUUUGGGUGAUAGGAUUACUUGACAAGGUUCGCUGCGACAAACGACAUCAAGACCCUUAUAUUUUGGGUCAUGAAAAAUUGCUAUCAGAGCAGUCAGAUUUUAUUAGUUUCAAUGGUGUAAGAAUAGAAUAUCUAAUAGAGUGUGGCGGAUUGGUAUGUAGACGAUUCGUAUCUAUCUUCGAGAAACUAUAGGAUGAUUUUAGAAAACUUUCCUCAUUUUAUUCCUUAUUAUGCCAACUUUUUUCAUACCUUGUAUUCUGAGUUAUGUUUCACUUUUUUCUAUGCAGAUGGUGUUGACUAGGUCUAGCAGAAUCAGAGAUGCAGAGCCUUUACCUAGAGGGCAAGCCUCGAGUUGGGAGGGAGUGGACUGUCCCAUGGUUCAACCCCGUCCAGGAGUAGAGCUAGGGGAUACUCCUUUGAGCCUCAUGUUGAGCAUGUUGGAGGUAUGGAUCUUACUUUGGUUCCUCAAAGUUCUUCUACCUUAGUCUUGGAGGGAUUUUUGAUUCGUGUGUUGACCCAUUUAGAGGGUGCUCCUUUGAGCGUUUGGUAUUUCCCCAUCUCCGAGUAUGGUACCUCUAUCUAUGCUAGAGUCUGGUGAUGGUGUUCCUCCAGUUUCACCUGCUUCUAUUUUGGGUACUUCUCAGACCCCAAGUACUAUUCCUCCUUCAGCACCGACACUUGAGUGUGGUGUUUUGAGAUCAGAAGUUUAGCCUUCCUUUGUGUUACCACCCUAGGUGGGGCCUCAGCCAUCUAGACUUUCUAUGUCUCUUGUACUUCAGUGAGCUACGACACAGAUGGUAGUGUUUGGGGCAUCAUUUAAGAGUAUAGAGGGGGGUAGGAUGCAUAGACCUACAACUCGAGCAUCUCAGGGAGGCGCUAAGAUAGUGCGCUGUCAGGACAAGUUUAGAGGUUGCUUUGUGUGUGAUGAGUUUGGCCAUUUGACCAAGGACUAUCCGCAUCAUUUGUUAAAGCUACUCCUAUUACAACUGUGAGAUGUAGAGAUUCUACCAAAGGUGCAAGAGGUAAAGUUAGGUCUCUUGAGAGUUAACCCCUAAAAUAGUGUUGGAGCUUAAAAGUGAAUCUUGUGGGUGCGUGGAAAGUUAGAUUAACAUCUAUUUCUUGAUCUUAUUGCGGAUUUAAGGUGAGAUUUCAUCCGUUUUAUACUCUAAUUCUUGAUUAAUUGUUCAAAAAUCACAAAAACCUUAUUUGUUGAUUUAAGCUUCAAUUUCACUUCUUUUCACUUGAAUAAUGUUUCUAAGCCUAUAAUUACAUGUUUUUCAUCAAUCUCAUCUUCAAACAACUUCGAUUUUUUAUUUUAACACGUAUU